rnacentral:rRNA from 1 species
GAUGAACGCUGGCGGCGUGCCUAAUACAUGCAAGUCGAGCGAACGGACGAGAAGCUUGCUUCUCUGAUGUUAGCGGCGGACGGGUGAGUAACACGUGGAUAACCUACCUAUAAGACUGGGAUAACUUCGGGAAGCCGGAGCUAAUACCGGAUAAUAUUUUGAACCGCAUGGUUCAAAAGUGAAAGACGGUCUUGCUGUCACUUGUAGAUGGAUCCGCGCUGCAUUAGCUAGUUGGUAAGGUAACGGCUUACCAAGGCAACGAUGCAUAGCCGACCUGAGAGGGUGAUCGGCCACACUGGAACUGAGACACGGUCCAGACUCCUACGGGAGGCAGCAGUAGGGAAUCUUCCGCAAUGGGCGAAAGCCUGACGGAGCAACGCCGCGUGAGUGAUGAAGGUCUUCGGAUCGUAAAACUCUGUUAUUAGGGAAGAACAUAUGUGUAAGUAACUGUGCUCAUCUUGACGGUACCUAAUCAGAAAGCCACGGCUAACUACGUG